UGGGUCCAUCCGAAAUUUAUAAUAUUAGAGACGGAGAUCCCCGCCUUCCUCCCUAAAACCUCAGCCCUGGUAAGGGCUGUGGUCUCGCUUUGCGUAGUGAAGAAAAGGAGGAUGCAGAUUCUGCCUACAUGAUGCUUCUCUCGCCCCCACACUUUUCUUAAGGCCAGCAGGGAUCAGGCUGAAAGAGUUGCUGGGCCCCCAUUGGCUACAGCACCAUCAGCUCUUCUCUAGUUACCAUGACAACCACUGACGUCAGGCACAUGCCACUCAUCAAAGACGCACUGAAUACAGAGAUCGGCUCCUGGAAUUUUCUAUUUCAGCAAGAAGGAAAUAAGCAAGCUGAUGCAUUAACCUGCCCUAUUUCUACUUCUCCAGAAGAAAACUGGGGAGGUUUAUACAUCUGUCAUUACAGAUGGAUCACUGAGACAUUUGGGAUUCCUCUCUGGCUCCUCCAGCCCCGGGCCAUCAAGGACAAUGGCAGAAGGUGAGGAGACAGUGGAAGUCACCAGAAAGAUAGCAAACCUCCAGCUAAAGGGCAAAACAAGAUAUCAACCAUAUCAUCAGAAGCCAAGUCUGCCCAUCUGGGGCCAAGUUAAGGCCCUAUGCAUCAAGGAAGAAGUAAACACACAGAACCCUUGUCACCUGAGAAUCUCUUUCUGGCAAUGCUAGCUGCUUGGACCUGUGCAUCUGCGAUCGAAUGGAUCCAGCUCCUGUUAUCUUUACUAAUGACUCUGUGUUUAUGACUGGACCUUGGGACUGUAACAGACUCAUUUAUUCAUCUGAAGAAGGAUACUCAUGCAUCAAAUGACAGAUUUAUCUACAUCAUCUCAAGUCAAAACUGCUCUGGAAUCCUGCUUUAAAAAGGGGGGUGGGGAGUGUUGGAACACGGUCCAGGAAUCUCCAGAGCCAUGUGAGGAGAAUUCUGAGUUCUCAUGAGAACACUCCAAGGAAACAAGACAAAAGUCUUGUGACUUCAGUUUCUUCAAAACACAGAGUUGCUUUUGGAAUGUGUGCUUCUCUCAGGUGUAGCAGAUAGGAGUGAGUUUACUUCAGAUUACUUGCUGCUGUUAUUCAAUUAACUGUUUACACUAUCCUUUAUAGGCCUCUAUGGAAAAACAUGUUUUUGCCAUGUGUGGCCUGUCCUUGUGAUUACAUACAGUUUGAACUUAUGAGCACUUAGUCAUGUGAUUCUCCUUGACCCCAGGAGUAUAAAUUGUCUGAUGCUCUGAAUAAAGUUGGUUAUGGUA